rnacentral:tRNA from 1 species
GUCCGGGUGGCGGAAUUGGUAGACGCGCUAGCUUGAGGUGCUAGUGGCCGCUUUUAGGCCAUGGAGGUUCAAGUCCUCUCUCGGACACCA